AGACCCACUUGUCCUUUUUUUUUUAAAAUGAAGUCUGUCCUCUUAACUUGUCCCUUCAAGAUAUAACCAAAUCGUUCACUGUGAUUUAACUGAAGAAAUAUAAACUCUCUCUCAUUCUUCCACUGUGAUUUGGACUUCAAUAACCAAAUCAUUCUUUCCAAUCGGAAAUUCUCUGUCUUCGUUUAAUGAAGAUCUUUUAUGUAUUUGCUUAUUUUGUGCUUUGUAAAGGAAUGCUUGCUAGGCUCCCUUCUUAAUUUUGUGGAGAAGAUAAUUUAGUCUUUAUUUGCUGAAAUAAUUGAUAGUUCACUGUUUUGUCCCUUGUAGGGCCCUAUUCAGUCUCUCUUCAACUGUCCCUGUAAUGGUUUCAUGAAGUGGAGUUCCAGGUUCUGUUGUAGAGAACCCUUCAGCAGCAGGGGAUGCUCCUAUGGCGUCAGAAAUUCUGAUUUCUGGUCUUUGCAAAGGAAGGUCAGGUAAUAUUUCAGGGGAAGCUUCACUUGCUGUGAACAGCGUAGCCGUUUGGCCUUCACUGCCUUCAGAUGGCUUUUCUGAUUUAGAAUUAGAGUUGUCUUUCUCUUCAUCAAAGACUUUUGCUAGUGCAGAGAGCUUUUGCCCUAUAGAAUCAUCAGUGGCUAAGAUUUCUCUAUUCUGAUAAAGGAAACUGAGGAAGAAUACGAGAAGAGCGGAGCCUGCUGAUACACCAGCUAUGAGGAAAAGGCCUUUAAAACUAUCUAGCGUGAGACUAUCAGAUGUUAUAGCCAUUUCAUUUUGCUCUGGACAAUCUGUUUCAUUCCCAAACCAUUUCUGAAUUAUUUCAGUCAUAAACUCUCCCUCCACCACCUUCAAGACUGCUCUUGAGACGUCAGGUACCAAAGGAGAUCCUUUUGGAAAUGCCUGUAAGAAGUUGCGGGAAAAUAAAAGAUUAGAUCAUUGAGUAAACCACAGACCAUUCUAAAUAAAUGUACUUUCUGAAACAUCACUGGAGUGCGACAAUCUUACGAAUCCAAAGCCGGCGGCCUUGUAUGUCGGACCGACCAUAAUAUACUUCCUGCAGUACUUGUUGAGGAAGAGUCUGAUGUAAGGCAGUUCAUCAACAAUUGCACUAACACCUCCAUUUUUACUUCCUCUUGAGAGGGCAUCAUUAUACUCUUCCAAUGUGCUAUAACUUCUGAACUUGGAGCUGUCAAAUUUCAUGCGCUUCAAGACGUCUUUGACAAAGGAACCUUUUUGGUACCCAACAUAUUCUCCAUUCCUGAUGAGAUCAUUGAUGUCUGUUAUAGUAGGUUGGAGCUGUUACACUGUUAACAUAGAUGUUAAGUUGGCUGAAUAACUUGAUGUCAGCACCAGAACCACGAAAACCCACACAAUCAGCACAAAUCUUGUCAAGUUACUUGUUACCCUCUCUUCUGCAACAACCAACCAUAUAUAUGAUAUUGUUGAGAAACAAGGAGAAAUCCUAAAGCUUUCGUAUAUAAUUUGCAUUGAGCCAAAGACUUACUAUGAGCAAAAACGAGAGUUGAGAAGGAAAACCAGAAUAUCACCCCAACUUGCUUGUGUUUGGGUCCUCGAAACUCUUUGUUAACACGAUGUUCGAGUACCCAAACCACAAAACCAGUGAAGACGAAGAAUGCUCCGGUUGUUAUCCAAAGCUCACUCUUUAGAGGUUUCAAGAAAAUCCAAGCAUUCUUCCUAUCAUCAUCCCUUACUGGCACAACUGCAGAAAUACCCGACUUUGAAAAAGGUAAUGAGAAAUCCACAUGCUCGGAUCGGCUAGCUAAAAUGGUCACAUUACCUACAACUGCAUCAUAUUCCUG